GGUCGAUGAUGAAGUUUGAUUGUUUUAUCUGAAUCUAAAGUUGAUGUGGUUUUAACAUUUAGCUCUAGAAUUACUCUGAGACCUG